rnacentral:rRNA from 1 species
AUAAACGCUGGCGGCGCACAUAAGACAUGCAAGUCGAACGGACUUAAUCGAAAUAUUUAUAUUUUGAAGCGGUUAGUGGCGGACUGGUGAGUAACGCGUAAGGAACCUACCUAUUAGAGGGGAAUAACAGUGAGAAAUCAUUGCUAAUACCGCAUAUGCCAUAGAUAUCACAUGAUAACAGUGGGAAAGGAGCAAUCCGCUAAUAGAUGGCCUUGCGUCUGAUUAGAUAGUUGGUGGGGUAACGGCCUACCAAGUCGACGAUCAGUAGCCGGACUGAGAGGUUGAACGGCCACAUUGGGACUGAGAUACGGCCCAGACUCCUACGGGAGGCAGCAGUCGGGAAUAUUGCGCAAUGGAGGAAACUCUGACGCAGUGACGCCGCGUAUAGGAAGAAGGUUUUCGGAUUGUAAACUAUUGUCGUUAGGGAAGAGAAAGGACAGUACCUAAGGAGGAAGCUCCGGCUAACUACGUGCCAGCAGCCGCGGUAAUACGUAGGGAGCGAGCGUUAUCCGGAAUUAUUGGGUGUAAAGGGUGCGUAGACGGGAGAACAAGUUAGUUGUGAAAUACCUCGGCUCAACUGAGGAACUGCAACUAAAACUGUACUUCUUGAGUGCAGGAGAGGUAAGUGGAAUUCCUAGUGUAGCGGUGAAAUGCGUAGAUAUUAGGAGGAACACCAGUGGCGAAGGCGACUUACUGGACUGUAACUGACGUUGAGGCACGAAAGUGUGGGGAGCAAACAGGAUUAGAUACCCUGGUAGUCCACACCGUAAACGAUGGAUACUAGGUGUAGGAGGUAUUAAGCCUUCUGUGCCGUCGCAAACGCAGUAAGUAUCCCACCUGGGGAGUACGGCCGCAAGGUUGAAACUCAAAGGAAUUGACGGGGGCCCGCACAAGCAGUGGAGUAUGUGGUUUAAUUCGAAGCAACGCGAAGAACCUUACCUGCUCUUGACAUCCCACUGACAGGUCAGUAAUGUGACCCUUUCUUCGGAACAGUGGAGACAGGUGGUGCAUGGUUGUCGUCAGCUCGUGUCGUGAGAUGUUGGGUUAAGUCCCGCAACGAGCGCAACCCCUGUACUUAGUUGCCAGCAUGUAGAGAUGGGAACUCUAAGUAGACUGCCGCGAAUAACGCGGAGGAAGGUGGGGAUGACGUCAAAUCAUCAUGCCCUUUAUGUCCUGGGCUACACACGUACUACAAUGGGUGUAACAGAGGGAAGCAACACAGCGAUGUGAAGCGAAACCCAAAAAGCACCCCCAGUUCGGAUUGAAGGCUGAAAUUCGCCUUCAUGAAGCCGGAAUUGCUAGUAAUGGCAGGUCAGCAUACUGCCGUGAAUACGUUCCCGGGCCUUGUACACACCGCCCGUCACACCAUGAGAGUUGGGGAUACCCGAAGCCUGUGAGCCAACAUAUCUAUGAGGCAGCAGUCGAAGGUAGAAUCAAUGAUUGGGGUG